CUCUCUCUGUGCCCCUCCUCCAUUGCCGAUGUCGUGGUGGUGGUGUGCCUCCUUCUCUUCAGCCUUGGCACGACGCAUCGGCAUGGAAUUCCACUGCAAUUGAACCAACCCUCCAUUUCUCCUCCGAAUAUCUCAAUGCUGAGGGUCUAGACCCACGGAACACGUCGACCGUCUGUCACGUAUUCUUCUCAUCGUUGGCCUCGCUGCGCACCCGCCCCUUCGUGUUGUUGGUGAUUUUGCAAUCGUGCUGCUGCUAGAGAGGAGCAGCGAAAGCCGGGAGCUAUGGCUUCCGAUCUCCUUCUGUGGUUAAUCUGCUUCCUCGCCGUUGUUUCGUUGCUUGGAAUCCUUGUUUACCAGCUGAUGUGCUUGUCUGACCUUGAGUUCGAUUACAUCAACCCAUUCGACUCCGCAUCCCGCAUCAAUGCUUUUAUUGUCCCUGAAUUUCUGAUUCAUGGAGCCCUGGGGUGCAUCUGCCUUCUUAGCGGUCAUUGGUUGCUGUUCUUGCUCAACGUUCCUUUGGCCUAUUACCAUAUAAAUUUGUACCUGAAGAAAGAACAUCUGCUGGAUGUCACGGAAAUUUUUAAUCUUCUGGAUCGAGAGAAGAAGUAUCGGCUAGCCAAGUUGGCAUUUUAUCUACUGCUCUUCUUCAUUGUUAUUUACAAGUUGGUGUUGGCAGCCGUCUACUUAAUUCUUGAGCAUGAGGAAUCUGUCCAGUCAGCUGGAACUUUCUCGGGGAUCCACGCAAACAUGUGAUCCUUGUGACUGUCACACUGAACCACCGUUCUUACAGCAGCGACUGAAAUGCUUUGGGUUUACGUGUGUCAAGAACUCGAGGACCACAUUGAGCUGUGAAUCGUAAGAUAUGGGGCUCAGUGGCAAACCAAUGUGCGAAACUCAUGGCAGAUGCUUGAAGCCUACGCCCUUGUUUUGAGAUUGAAGUCCUCUCUGUAAGCGUCACACUUGUGAAGACGAGUACUAUAGAUGUACCAGUCUAGUUGUUAUUGUCACACUUUGUGAAGAGAUUGCAGGGGAGUGCGGAGACUUGUAGAUGGGUAUGCAGAGAUGGCUGCAGUUUGCCAAAUUUAUUAUUUUCUGCAUAUAAGUGUAAGUCUAUUGGCUUCAAUGAAAUUUUCUCUGAUUGCCACUGUA